GUGGGUGCACAUAUUCGCCAGGGACACAAUUUCGCCGUUUUCUGAUUUUGAGGUGUAAAAACUUCAAAGAAUGGUUUAAAUUGAAGAAAUAUGCCAGUAAAUUAUAUUUUUAUAACAAAUAUGAUUAUUUUUGAAAAUGAGACCAAAUUUCGGCACUUACCGCAAAGGAAUGCAAAAAAACGAUUUCAAAGAAGUAUCUCUUUAGUAAUUCUUUGACUGAUUGCCCUAAAUUUCGUUUUUUACACCUUUCAAAUGUCUGCUAUUCAUCUAUAAUGAAAUUUAUUUGAUAAAUAUUAUUUAAAGCUGAAGUUAUUUGGUUUUAAAUAGAUGUGUAACAACGGCGAAUAUGUGUCCCCCGUUGACAAAACAUCAGCAAAUUUCAAACACCCUUUAAUCCAACAUUUCAUAUGAUUUUUCUCAAAACAAACAAUUUUCAUAGCUAAGAGUAUUUUGCAUUUGAAAUUAUCUUCAUAUACAAAUAUCAGUAUACUUCAAAAACAUAAAGACCUGAACUUAAACUGAAGAAAACAUGGAAAGAUAUGGCGAAAAUGAGCACCCCACUCUAGUUAUAUUUUUUACUUAUGUUUUGUUUCAUAUAGUUUACAAUGUACAAAUUAUUAUAAUUUAAAACUAAUAUUUAUUUUCUAAUAAUUAGUCGGUUUUUAAAUUAAAGUUGUUGGUUAAAUUUGAUACAAUAUAAUUUUUUUUUCAUUUGCUAUUUUUUACGUCAAUACGCGGUUAGGACAUCCUAGCUAAGAUAAUCCUCAGAUAGCUUCAAUGUGCAUGCUGAGACAUGUCGUAAGUCGGUCCUAAUUUUAUUAUAAUUUCUGUCCUAGGAAUAUCUUAUAAAAUCGAUCUUAGGACAGUUUCGAUAAACAGGCCCCAGUUCUCAUAAUGUUAUUAUUUUACAAAUAUAUUGUUAUUUAAAUGAAUAAAUGUCUUUUAUUUACUAGCAUUUAUGUUUUAGGCAUUAAGCUUAAUGCCUGCACAUAUUUUUCAGGAUUUAAGCUUAAAUCCUAGGAUUUAAGACUAAUGCCUAACAUCAUUUAGGCAAUAGACUUACUGCCUAGGCGUUAGCUUAUUGCCUAGGAUUUAAGCUUAAUGCCUAAUUUCACUUAUUGCCGCUAAGGGAGCUACCAUUUGAUUUUUAUGGGGGGGCUAGGAUGAAAAAUUUUGUCCUGCAUUUUUUUUAGCUGUAAUCUCUGUCCUGCCUUUUUAUUUUUCACUCUAAUCGGUCCUGCCUUUUUUUUUUUUUAGUUUAUCCUGACUUUUUUUUUACCUAAAUUGUCGUCCUGACUUUUUUUUUUUGCAAGUGUCACAUCCUGCCUUUUUUUUUACUCAAAACUCCUGUCCUGCCUAUUUUUUUCAAAUUUCAUCCUAGCCCCUUCUACAACGAAAU
rnacentral:lncRNA from 1 species